rnacentral:lncRNA from 1 species
UUUAAUUGUGUUGGGCUUUAAUAAAUAUUUAUUUGGGCCUUUUAACAAAGAUUUAUUUGUUCAUAUAUUUAGCAUUCAUCUUUAGCCCAAGAGUCCUUUUUUUUCUUUUUUGAGCUCAACCCAACUCAACAUGGCCCAAUCCCACUCAACUCCCUUGCAAGUGCCAAGUACAGCAGCAUAGCUCUUCCUGCAAGCCACGUCCUUAGCCACUCUUUCACCCACGCCUUGUAUCAAUUCACCCAUGCCUUCAACUAUUCACCCAUCUACUCAACUAUUCGUUUCAUCCAUCUUUAAAUGACCUAUUCUCGUUCACAAUAAUCUUUACCCAGCUGCAAGAAUUCAAGAGGUAAAGCUUUUUCCCCCUCAAUUCAUUUCUCCCAUCAAUUAUGUAAUCACCAUUUCCUCUACAUUCUUUACAGAACCAAAGCUAGCAACAUUGCAAACAAAUCCUACAUAAUUCUUAAAAGGUUCUACCUUUUAAUUCCCCUACUUAUUCAUUUAUGCUUAACAUCACAAUAUGAGUAAAACCAACAUCAAUGCAUAAACUGAUAUGCUAGAUACUACAAUGAGGUUUUCUUGCUACAUAUGUUGAUAUAGAAGAAAAUAUCUAAAUCAAAUAGAAAAGAAGAGGAAUUUAUGAACUAGAAACAAUGUGAAUAGGAACUUGCUGCAUUUUUGUUGCGUUGUGUAUGAGUCGGGUCGAGUCAGGGUGGCAACGGUGGUGGCUUUUAGCUGCUGUUGUCUGCCGGAGUCACGGAGGGAGGAAAGGGGCCGGUGAGGGCGGUGGCUAGGUGCCACUGUUGCUACCGGCCGAAAUGCGUAGAGAGAGAGAGGAGGCGGAGAAAGCUGUUGCUGCUGUCGUCCAACAGAGAUAGAUAGAGAGAGAGGGUGAAGACGGUGGUCUUCGCCGUCUGGAGGCGGCGCUUGGCGCAGUCGCCGGAGAACCGAGGCUAGAGGUGGUAGAUUUUGGGGAUCUAGGGUUUCAGUGUGAUUCAGAGAGAGAGGAAGGUUAGGAGAAAGGGGGAGGCGAUUGGCGACUUUGGGAGUACGGUGGUGGUUGGCUUUGCUAGCCGCUGCGGCCGCCGGAUUUCAGCGGGAGGCGGAGGCUGGAGGUGGUGCGUCGUGUGUGGGAUUUCUCGGGUGCGUGUGUAUGAUGUCGUGUGAGAGGCGAGAGAGAGGACGAGGGAGAAGGGAGUCAAGGGGGGAGGCGGCGGCGGCUACUGCCGCCGGAGAAGAAAGGGUGUGUCUGGCAUGUGUGGUGUCUGUGUCGUGUGUGUGUUCUGAGUGUGUUGUGCGUGCGUGUGUUUUAAGAGAAGGGAAAGAAGAGAUUUUGGGCCUUAAUUUAUUUUACAAUUGGGCUCUGAUCUUAUUUUAAGUUGGACUGCUCCUUUUAUUUGGUUUAGGUUUCUGAUUUUAUUUUAG